rnacentral:lncRNA from 10 species
CUUGCCCACAUGGGAUGCUCUACUUUUGAAAAGUGCAGGUCUUGGGCAAGGCUGUGAUGAGGAGAGGGGAAUGUGCGGGGGACCUUUGAGGACCACUAAGCACUGCUCAGAGCAGAAGGAACAAAACAGGACCGCUGCCUCCUUCACCAGCCUGGAUUUGACUCCCAGCUUUGUCCAGAGAGGGAAUUGGUCCUGAAGAAACAGUCAGAGCUGCUGAGAUAAACUCUCUCCCU